rnacentral:rRNA from 1 species
AUUGAACGCUGGCGGCAGGCCUAACACAUGCAAGUCGAGCGGAUGAAGGGAGCUUGCUCCUGGAUUCAGCGGCGGACGGGUGAGUAAUGCCUAGGAAUCUGCCUGGUAGUGGGGGAUAACGUCCGGAAACGGGCGCUAAUACCGCAUACGUCCUGAGGGAGAAAGUGGGGGAUCUUCGGACCUCACGCUAUCAGAUGAGCCUAGGUCGGAUUAGCUAGUUGGUGGGUAAAGGCCUACCAAGGCGACGAUCCGUAACUGGUCUGAGAGGAUGAUCAGUCACACUAGAACUGAGACACGGUCCAGACUCCUACGGGAGGCAGCAGUGGGGAAUAUUGGACAAUGGGCGAAAGCCUGAUCCAGCCAUGCCGCGUGUGUGAAGAAGGUCUUCGGAUUGUAAAGCACUUUAAGUUGGGAGGAAGGGCAGUAAGUUAAUACCUUGCUGUUUUGACGUUACCAACAGAAUAAGCACCGGCUAACUUCGUG